UACGUAGGGGGCAAGCGUUGUCCGGAUUUAUUGGGCGUAAAGAGCGUGUAGGCGGCCAUACAGGUCCGUUGUGAAAACUCGAGGCUUAACCUCGAGACGUCGAUGGAAACCGUAUGGCUAGAGUCCGAUAGAGGUGGGUGGAAUUCCUAGUGUAGAGGUGAAAUUCGUAGAUAUUAGGAAGAACACCGGUGGCGAAGGCGGCCCACUGGAUCGGUACUGACGCUGAGGUGCGAAAGCGUGGGGAGCAAACAGG
rnacentral:rRNA from 1 species